GGUUAACUCUAAUUUACUGCAUCUUUCAUUGAGUGCAAUCGCUGCUCUUCAAGAUGAAGUCAACCGAUUUCAACAACAGCAGCAGCAGUCUUUACCUCUAGGAUGCAGAGUUGAUAGACAAUCAAAGUAUACUAUUGUAGCUUUGGUUACUUCACCCUCUUGUACAAUUCAUCAUCUUCAACAAGGAGGAGAUUUGGUUUCAUCAGCAGACCUUAAGCAGAAGAACUUUCCCUUGUUUGAAUUCUUAUGCUCUAAAGGCAAUCCUUGUUUCUCCAUUCUUACAGCUGCAAUCACCCUCUUUUACAAUUGUUUUACAGAUCUCUCUUGCCUCAGA
rnacentral:misc_RNA from 1 species